GAUGAACGCUGGCGGCGCGCCUAACACAUGCAAGUCGAACGGCACCCCACCUCGGUGGGAAGCGAGUGGCGAACGGCUGAGUAACACGUGGAGAACCCGCCCCCUCCUCCGGGAUAGCCUCGGGAAACCGUGGGUAAUACCGGAUGACGCCCGGACGACGCAUGUCGCCCGGGCCAAAGCCCAGACGGGAGGGGAUGGCUCCGCGGCCCAUCAGGUAGACGGCGGGGUGAAGGCCCACCGUGCCGACGACGGGUAGCCGGGUUGAGAGACCGACCGGCCAGAUUGGGACUGAGACACGGCCCAGACUCCUACGGGAGGCAGCAGUGGGGAAUCUUGCGCAAUGGGGGGAACCCUGACGCAGCGACGCCGCGUGCGGGACGAAGGCCCUAGGGUCGUGAACCGCUUUCAGCAGGGAUGAGACAAGACGGUACUGCAGAAG
rnacentral:rRNA from 1 species